CUAAAGUUUUCCUUUUUUAUAUGCCCUUUAACUGCAGAUUUUAAAUAUGUAUAUAUAUAUAUAUACACACACUUUAAUGUGAGUAGUCCCACUGACAUCAACAAAAGUUUGUGUAUUAAAUGCUGAGCAUUAUAUAAUUCCUAUCUUGAAAGAUUAUGGAAUAGAAGGAUUUGAUUUUGUUAUUACAGCCCUCUGAAAUUUCUAAGAAGCUUUAUGAUGUUACGUACAUUGUUUCAGAAGUUUUUCCUGUCAAAAUAGUUGUAAAUCGGCUGCCUGAGAGCUGUGAUCUGCCUUAUAUACUUUCAUCUACGGGAAUACUAUCUGUUUUUGCAAAACUAAGCAUUGUGAACUUGUUAGUUCGUUGUGAACUUGCGUUAGUCAACUUGUUGGCUAAAAAGGGCACAAUGCAAAUAAAAAUUAACAUCUCUUAAAGGAGGUCAAAUGAACCCAGACCUGACUUUGAGAACCACUGAAAAGUUUCUCAAAUCAGACUUUUCCACUGUAAGUAAAACCGCAUCCACUGCAACAUCCAUCUUUUCCCCUUCCAUACAUUUGAAAAGGAGUCUCUGUCUCAAGCAGAGUUGUCCCUAGCAGUYGGAGACACCAUGGACUUCACUAUUGCCAGUCUAUUUAACGUGUAAUGCAUCCAAAUAGCAUAGUCACAGGCAGCCAUGCAAAAUGCUUAGGGAAAAACAAAUGAAAGAGGUUUUGUUCCCCCUCUCUCCCAGCAAUGUAGUAGAAAUGCCAUCCCAGCAUGAGAAAACACUGGCUGCUCGAGUGCAGAUACCAGUGUAUGUACGCCGUGUUUGCAUCCCGCAGGCUGCAGCAUGAUGCUGUUACAACUGAAGUGACAACGGGAGCCAAACAGAGGGAAGUACAUAUGACUGGACAUAGUCAGAAAUAUGACUGGGUCCCAUUCCUCUAUAUUGAAAUUAUUCCCAUCUUGAGUGACAACUUCAGACCUUUAGACAAAGAAGAGCUGAAGUGCUGAAAGAUUUGCAUCUGUUAUGGACUUGACUUAUUUUGAUUAAAAAAUGCUUUUACCCUGUUUCAUUAUUUUUCUGACAGUUACACCCUGAAAAACCAGAGUGUCAGUGGGAGUGGGAUUUUCUCAGAAGGUACCACACUUAAAAGCAAUUAGGUGUGUGACUGAAGGCAGUUAGCACAUGGGAUAUUCCCCAACAAAAYAGGCUCAGCAUUGAAGGUGUGUUUGCAUAGCAUGCUUUUCAUUGCAUCAAACACUAUCAGGAUGCCAGGAAUAUUUCCCAAAUUCUGAAAUUCAGCCUUAAAGAACCACCCCUCCAARAGAACUGGCUGAUCUAAUCAGAAGUGGAGUGUGUCUCACUGGCUACUCUGUGCGGAUCCACAAAACCAGCUAACCUGGUGCUUUCUAUCUCCCCCACCCUGUUUGCAAAGCCAGGCAGUGCCUACUGUGAUAUACAAAAAUAAAGAAACCAGAAUAGGCA
rnacentral:lncRNA from 1 species